GCACACUCGUAUCAGUUAUGUAUUUAAGAGUAUUCCUUAGUUUUAUUGCUGCCUUCCAGAGGCAGCUUCCUGAAGAAAUAUUUGAGGUCCUCUGUAAGCUUCCAGGAGUAGACUGUUUCCUCCGAGAAGGCCUGUUCGUCAGAAGAAGCAAAAGGUUUUAUUCUAGAGACAUGGACUCAAGUCGGAAGUCCUUCCAACGUUAUGACCGUUGGAGUGGACAAGAUAACCUGGGAGUGGUUACCUGGAGCCCUGGUGUCUUUGGAAGGAGCAGAUAACCCAUAGCUUUUCUGCAGAAGCAGGGCCCCGGUAUCCAUUCAUCAAGCCUCUAGCACCACGGGAGCCUCCACGAGACACACCACGACUAUUGUAAUAGGGCUGAUUGCUACGUGGAAAUCCAGUGUUCUGCUGAGGAGGCUGCUGGUGGUUACCAGUCACUUGAUGGGACUGGUCCGGGGAACCAUGGUAAGUGCCAACCACUGUUUGAAGCUAUUCUUGCUGAAGCUCUGUUUGUUCUACUUGGUGAGGCUGACUAGAAAAGCUCUGGUUAUAACUGGCCUGGUACUGAUUUUGCUGUUUUAAAGUUUCUGGUUCACAGCUUUUCCAGUUAAAUUGGAGCACUGAACGUUCAGAUGCAUACCAAAUUAUGCAUGGGUCCUAAUCACACCUAUAAGGCUGGCUACCAGCUUUGACACAGCACUGUUCAUCUGGCCAAACAACUGUGGUUAAAAACACAUGUAAAAUGCUUUUUAACAGCUGAUACUGUAUAAGACAAAGCCAAGAUGCAAAAUUAGGCUUUGAUUGGCACUUUUUGAAAAAUAUGCAACAAAUAUGGGAUGUAAUCUGGAUGGCCGCUUCUGUACUUAAUGUGAAAUAUUUAGAUACCUUUUUGAACACUUAACAGUUUUUUUGAGACAAUGACUUUUGUAAGGAUUGGUACUAUCAUUCCUUAUGACAUGUACAUUGUCUGUCACUAAUCCUUGGAUUUUGCUGUAUUGUCACCUAAAUUGGUACAGGUAUUGAUGAAAUCUCUAGUGGAUAAUCAUAACACUCUUGGUCACAUGUUUUUCCUUCAGCUUGAAAGCUUUUUUUUAAAAGGAAAAGAUACCAAAUGCCUGCUGCUACCACCCUUUUCAAUUGCUAUCUUUUGAAAGGCACCAGUAUGUGUUUUAGAUUGAUUUCCCUGUUUCAGGGAAGUCACAGACGGUAGUUUCAGUUCUGAUGGUAUAAGCAAAACAAAUAAAACAUGUUUAUAAAAAAAAAAUUAUUGGAGAUUUUUUUCUUAAUGUUACCAAAACAUCAAAAUCAGUAACUAACUAAAGAAAGAAACAAAAAAGGAAGUAAAAUCAUACAAAAAAAUAACUGAUAAGAGGGAGGAAAUUUAAAUAAAAUCUAAAGAUACUACUUUUCAGACCUCUUUGUAAAUACGUUGAAAACCUAGAAAAAUUGAUAAUUUUUAAUGAAAAUCCACUUACUAAAAAUAAGCUCGUUCGAUAUAGAAAAUUUAAGCAGACCAACUUUCAUAGGAAUAGAGAAAGUUUUAAGGAUUUACCUUACAUUUUAAAAAAGUC
ensembl:lncRNA